UGGGGAAUAUUGCACAAUGGGCGCAAGCCUGAUGCAGCAACGCCGCGUGAGGGACGACGGCCUUCGGGUUGUAAACCUCUUUUAGUAGGGAAGAAGCGAAAGUGACGGUACCUGCAGAAAAAGCACCGGCUAACUACGUGCCGGCAGCCGCGGUAAUACGUAGGGUGCGAGCGUUGUCCGGAAUUAUUGGGCGUAAAGAGCUCGUAGGCGGUCUGUCGCGUCUGCUGUGAAAAUCCCGAGGCUCAACCUCGGGCCUGCAGUGGGUACGGGCAGACUAGAGUGCGGUAGGGGAGAAUGGAAUUCCUGGUGUAGCGGUGGAAUGCGCAGAUAUCAGGAGGAACACCGAUGGCGAAGGCAGUUCUCUGGGCCGUAACUGACGCUGAGGAGCGAAAGCGUGGGGAGCGAACAGGAUUAGAUACCCUGGUAGUCCACGCCGUAAACGUUGGGCGCUAGAUGUGGGGCACCAUUCCACGGUUUCCGUGUCGCAGCUAACGCAUUGAAGCGCCCCGCCUGGGGCAGUACGGCCGCAAGGCUAAAAC
rnacentral:rRNA from 1 species